AAUGUCAUUGUCCUUCAUGGACUUAAUCCCUUCAUUCAUAACAUCUAUCCACUUUUGAGAGUUAAAACUUUCCAUAGCUUGACGAAAGUUGAUUGGCUAUUUUGGAACAGCUUCUUGAGUAUGAACAGAAGGUACUGUGAUAAUGUUUUGACCUAGAUUUACUUCUUGAACAAUACAAGGUAUGAGAACCUGAUCCUGAUCAAUGUCAAGAGCAACUAAGGGAAUAUCAAUU
rnacentral:lncRNA from 1 species